rnacentral:rRNA from 1 species
UUCCGCAAUGGGCGAAAGCCUGACGGAGCAAUGCCGCGUGGAGGUAAAAGGCCUACGGGUCAUGAACUUCUUUUCCUGGAGAAGAAACAAUGACGGUAUCCGGGGAAUAAGCAUCGGCUAACUCUGUGCCAGCAGCCGCGGUAAGACAGAGGAUGCAAGCGUUAUCCGGAAUGAUUGGGCGUAAAGCGUCUGUAGGUGGCUUUUUAAGUUCGCCGUCAAAUCCCAGGGCUCAACCCUGGACAGGUGGUGAAAACUACUAAGCUAGAGUACGGUAGGGGCAGAGGGAAUUUCCGGUGGAGCGAUGAAAUGCGUAGAGAUCGGAAGGAACACCAAUGGCGAAAGCACUCUGCUGGGCCGACACUGACACUGAGAGACUAAAGCUAGGGGAGCGAAUGGGAUUAGAGACCCCAGUAGUCCUAGCCGUAAACGAUGGAUACUAGGCGGCUGUGCGUAUCGACCCGUGCAAUGCUGUAGCUAACGCGUUAAGUAUCCCGCCUGGGGAGUACGU